ACUCCUACGGGAGGCAGCAGUGGGGAAUAUUGCACAAUGGAGGAAACUCUGAUGCAGCAACGCCGCGUGGAGGAUGACACUUUCGGAGCGUAAACUCCUUUAUAUAGGAAGAUAAUGACGGUACUAUAUGAAUAAGCACCGGCUAACUCCGUGCCAGCAGCCGCGGUAAUACGGAGGUGCAAGCGUUACUCGGAAUCACUGGGCGUAAAGAGCGUGUAGGCGGGUUAUUAAGUCAGAAGUGAAAUCCUAUGGCUCAACCAUAGAACUGCUUUUGAAACUGGUAACCUAGAGUAUGGGAGAGGUAGAUGGAAUUUCUGGUGUAGGGUAAAAUCCGUAGAGAUCGAGAAGGAAUACCGAUUGCGAAGGCGAUCUACUGGAACAUUACUGACGCUGAGACGCGAAAGCGUGGGGAGCAAACAGGAUUAGAGUACCCUGGUAGCGACUGA
rnacentral:rRNA from 1 species